AUGAAUGCAUCUUUGAAAAAAGGUUCAUCAUAUACUUGGCAGAGUAUUAUGGCGGGUAUGAAAACCUUCAAGCUAGGGGCGAUCUGGCGACCAGGGAAUGGUGCUUCAAUUGAUAUUUGGUCUGACCAGUGGAUACCCACAAGCCAUGACCGCAAGGUAAUGACCCCUAGGGGGCUAUGUUUGUUACAGAAAGUCCAGGACUUGAUUGAUCCAAUUUCUGGAAAUUGGGAUGAGCAGCUCGUGCGUGAAAACUUCUGGCCGGUUGAUGCAGAGAGGAUAUUGCAAAUUCCGCUGUCAUCUCAUGGACAAUCAGACUUCAUCUCAUGGCAUUUUUCGAAGUCAGGUUGCUUUACUGUCCGCACAGCGUAUCAUAUUACAUGGAAAAAUGAAUAUAGGACACGAACUCGGUUGGACUCGGGAGGAGGCAGAAUUGAUCCACACCCUGUGUGGAAGUCGCUUUGGGGAAGAACUGUCCCUCCUAAAGUACAUGUGUUCAACUGGCGGGUGUUACAUGGGAUCGUUCCGUGCUACUGCACAUUAACAGAUCGUCAUAUGAAGUCCCCUGUAAUAUGCCCAGUUUGUCGAACUACCCCUGAGGAUCUCCGCCAUAUGUUGUUUACAUGUGACAGAUCCAAGAAGGUGUGGGAGGAACUCGGUUUGAAACCUACCAUUGAAAAUGCUGUAGCACAAGAGAGGUCAGGUUCAGUUAUUUUAGAAAAGCUACUCUGUUCGGACCUCGAGGGAGAAGCAAGGAUCCCGAUUGCAAAUGGAGUUGAGAUGAUUAUGGUAGCAGCUUGGUACCUUUGGUGGGAUCGCCGGAAAAUUAGCCACGACGAGAAGUGUGGCACCCCGGUCCGUACAGCAAUGAGUAUACGGGGCAUCGUUGCUAAUGCCCUCGCUAUGAAACUAGGGGUAAAGGACAGAAAAGUGAGGUGGGAGAGGCCUGCUAGGGGGGGUCUUAAAGCUUAA
rnacentral:rRNA from 1 species